GCUCCGCCGACGCUACCGGAGCAUCCCCCACAGGUAUUGUAUUUUCCCAAAUAGGGUACGGAUCCCCACGGAGAGCGGCGGAGCAUCCCCGGGGUGAGAAAGGAAGACACGGACAGAGCAUCCCCGGGGCAGCAAGCACCGAGAGCGGCCGAGCACCGCCCCAGAGCGAGGGACACGGAACCGGGAGCACCACGGGGACCCAUGGAGCAUCCACCCGGGUCAGCGGUGAAGAGGGUGCCGGGAUCGGGCGGGAGGAGCACGGACACCCACCGGAUCAUCCCCCACAGGGUAGGAAUCCCCACGGAGCAGCGAGAGCUGCGGAGCAUCCCCGGGGUGCGAAGGGAGGACACCGACAGAGAAUCCCUUGGGUCAACGAGCGCCGAGAGCGACCGAGCAUCCCCGUGGUGAGGACGACGGUGCCAGGAGCAGCACGGAGAGUGAGAUAGCAUCCCCCGGAGGUGAGAAGGGUGGACACCAACAGAGAAUCUCCCAGGGCAGCGGCGAAAACGGUGCCGGGAUCGGGAGGGAGCUCCGCCGACGCUACCGGAGCAUCCCCCACAGGUAUUGUAUUUUCCCAAAUAGGGUACGGAUCCCCACGGAGAGCGGCGGAGCAUCCCCGGGGUGAGAAAGGAAGACACGGACAGAGCAUCCCCCGGGGCAGCAAGCACCGAGAGCGGCCGAGCACCGCCCCAGAGCGAGGGACACGGAACCGGGAGCACCACGGGGACCCAUGGAGCAUCCACCCGGGUCAGCGGUGAAGAGGGUGCCGGGAUCGGGCGGGAGGAGCACGGACACCCACCGGAUCAUCCCCCACAGGGUAGGAAUCCCCACGGAGCAGCGAGAGCUGCGGAGCAUUCCCGGGGUGCGAAGGGAGGACACCGACAGAGAAUCCCUUGGGUCAACGAGCGCCGAGAGCGACCGAGCAUCCCCGUGGUGAGGACGACGGUGCCAGGAGCAGCACGGAGAGUGAGAUAGCAUCCCCCGGAGGUGAGAAGGGUGGACACCAACAGAGAAUCUCCCAGGGCAGCGGCGAAAACGGUGCCGGGAUCGGGAGGGAGCUCCGCCGACGCUACCGGAGCAUCCCCCACAGGUAUUGUAUUUUCCCAAAUAGGGUACGGAUCCCCACGGAGAGCGGCGGAGCAUCCCCGGGGUGAGAAAGGAAGACACGGACAGAGCAUCCCCCGGGGCAGCAAGCACCGAGAGCGGCCGAGCACCGCCCCAGAGCGAGGGACACGGAACCGGGAGCACCACGGGGACCCAUGGAGCAUCCACCCGGGUCAGCGGUGAAGAGGGUGCCGGGAUCGGGCGGGAGGAGCACGGACACCCACCGGAUCAUCCCCCACAGGGUAGGAAUCCCCACGGAGCAGCGAGAGCUGCGGAGCAUUCCCGGGGUGCGAAGGGAGGACACCGACAGAGAAUCCCUUGGGUCAACGAGCGCCGAGAGCGACCGAGCAUCCCCGUGGUGAGGACGACGGUGCCAGGAGCAGCACGGAGAGUGAGAUAGCAUCCCCCGGAGGUGAGAAGGGUGGACACCAACAGAGAAUCUCCCCAGGGCAGCGGCGAAAACGGUGCCAGGAUCGGGAGGGAGCUCCGCCGACGCUACCGGAGCAUCCCCCACAGGUAUUGUAUUUUCCCAAAUAGGGUACGGAUCCCCACGGAGAGCGGCGGAGCAUCCCCGGGGUGAGAAAGGAAGACACGGACAGAGCAUCCCCCGGGGCAGCAAGCACCGAGAGCGGCCGAGCACCGCCCCAGAGCGAGGGACACGGAACCGGGAGCACCACGGGGACCCAUGGAGCAUCCACCCGGGUCAGCGGUGAAGAGGGUGCCGGGAUCGGGCGGGAGGAGCACGGACACCCACCGGAUCAUCCCCCACAGGUAAGGGAUAUUCUCAAAUAGGGUAGGAAUCUACAGGGAGCACCGAGAGUGGCGGAUCAUCCCCGGGUGAAAAGGGAAGACUCGGGCAGAGCAUCCCCCGGGGCAGGGGUGAAGACGGUGGCGGGAUCGGGCGGAAGCUCUGCAGACACUACCGGAGCAUCCCCCAGAGGUAAUGUGUUUUCCCAAAUAGGGUAGGAAUCCCCACGGAGCAGCGAGAGCUGCGGAGCAUCCCGGGGUGCGAAGGGAGGACACCGACAGAGAAUCCCUUGGGUCAACGAGCGCCGAGAGCGACCGAGCAUCCCCGUGGUGAGGACGACGGUGCCAGGAGCAGCACGGAGAGUGAGAUAGCAUCCCCCGGAGGUGAGAAGGGUGGACACCAACAGAGAAUCUCCCCAGGGCAGCGGCGAAAACGGUGCCGGGAUCGGGAGGGAGCUCCGCCGACGCUACCGGAGCAUCCCCCACAGGUAUUGUAUUUUCCCAAAUAGGGUACGGAUCCCCACGGAGAGCGGCGGAGCAUCCCCGGGGUGAGAAAGGAAGACACGGACAGAGCAUCCCCCGGGGCAGCAAGCACCGAGAGCGGCCGAGCACCGCCCCAGAGCGAGGGACACGGAACCGGGAGCACCACGGGGACCCAUGGAGCAUCCACCCGGGUCAGCGGUGAAGAGGGUGCCGGGAUCGGGCGGGAGGAGCACGGACACCCACCGGAUCAUCCCCCACAGGGUAGGAAUCCCCACGGAGCAGCGAGAGCUGCGGAGCAUUCCCGGGGUGCGAAGGGAGGACACCGACAGAGAAUCCCUUGGGUCAACGAGCGCCGAGAGCGACCGAGCAUCCCCGUGGUGAGGACGACGGUGCCAGGAGCAGCACGGAGAGUGAGAUAGCAUCCCCCGGAGGUGAGAAGGGUGGACACCAACAGAGAAUCUCCCAAGGGCAGCGGCGAAAACGGUGCCAGGAUCGGGAGGGAGCUCCGCCGACGCUACCGGAGCAUCCCCCACAGGUAUUGUAUUUUCCCAAAUAGGGUACGGAUCCCCACGGAGAGCGGCGGAGCAUCCCCGGGGUGAGAAAGGAAGACACGGACAGAGCAUCCCCCGGGGCAGCAAGCACCGAGAGCGGCCGAGCACCGCCCCAGAGCGAGGGACACGGAACCGGGAGCACCACGGGGACCCAUGGAGCAUCCACCCGGGUCAGCGGUGAAGAGGGUGCCGGGAUCGGGCGGGAGGAGCACGGACACCCACCGGAUCAUCCCCCACAGGGUAGGAAUCCCCACGGAGCAGCGAGAGCUGCGGAGCAUCCCCGGGGUGCGAAGGGAGGACACCGACAGAGAAUCCCUUGGGUCAACGAGCGCCGAGAGCGACCGAGCAUCCCCGUGGUGAGGACGACGGUGCCAGGAGCAGCACGGAGAGUGAGAUAGCAUCCCCCGGAGGGUAGGGAUCCCCACGGAGAGCGGCGGAGCAUCCCCGGGGUGAGAAAGGAAGACACGGACAGAGCAUCCCCCGGGGCAGCAAGCACCGAGAGCGGCCGAGCACCGCCCCAGAGCGAGGGACACGGAACCGGGAGCACCACGGGGACCCAUGGAGCAUCCACCCGGGUCAGCGGUGAAGAGGGUGCCGGGAUCGGGCGGGAGGAGCACGGACACCCACCGGAUCAUCCCCCACAGGGUAGGAAUCCCCACGGAGCAGCGAGAGCUGCGGAGCAUCCCCGGGGUGCGAAGGGAGGACACCGACAGAGAAUCCCUUGGGUCAACGAGCGCCGAGAGCGACCGAGCAUCCCCGUGGUGAGGACGACGGUGCCAGGAGCAGCACGGAGAGUGAGAUAGCAUCCCCCGGAGGUGAGAAGGGUGGACACCAACAGAGAAUCUCCCAAGGGCAGCGGCGAAAACGGUGCCAGGAUCGGGAGGGAGCUCCGCCGACGCUACCGGAGCAUCCCCCACAGGUAUUGUAUUUUCCCAAAUAGGGUACGGAUCCCCACGGAGAGCGGCGGAGCAUCCCCGGGGUGAGAAAGGAAGACACGGACAGAGCAUCCCCCGGGGCAGCAAGCACCGAGAGCGGCCGAGCACCGCCCCAGAGCGAGGGACACGGAACCGGGAGCACCACGGGGACCCAUGGAGCAUCCACCCGGGUCAGCGGUGAAGAGGGUGCCGGGAUCGGGCGGGAGGAGCACGGACACCCACCGGAUCAUCCCCCACAGGGUAGGAAUCCCCACGGAGCAGCGAGAGCUGCGGAGCAUCCCCGGGGUGCGAAGGGAGGACACCGACAGAGAAUCCCUUGGGUCAACGAGCGCCGAGAGCGACCGAGCAUCCCCGUGGUGAGGACGACGGUGCCAGGAGCAGCACGGAGAGUGAGAUAGCAUCCCCCGGAGGUGA